rnacentral:rRNA from 1 species
GUCUAUGGUCCCACCACCCUGAAUGCGCCCGAGCUCAUCUGAUAUGAGAAGCUAAGCAGGGUCGGGCCUGGUUAGUACUUGGAUGGGAGAAUACAACCAAAAUGUUCCUUAGAAUCAAGGGUGGCAGAAC